UUUUAAUUUGUUUUUUUUUCUGUAUAAUGUUGAAUAGAACAUAGGCACUCAUAGUAAGGUGAACUCAUGUCGGUGUUUGUCAGCAAGUAGCUCCUCACCAUCAGGAAAGUCUGCAGUGCUGCUCUCACCAAAUGGGUCUCCUGUUAUUACCACAGCUGUUCUGAGAUUCUAUGUAGGCUGUUCAUUCAUUUAGGGAUUUACCUAAAAUUAAAUAACAAAAUAUUUACAUUUAUUCAUGUAGCACAGGCUUUUUUAAAAGUAUCUUUAAAAUAGGAACUCCACAUGAAAUUUUUUGUCAUAUUAGUGAAUUGAUUAAUGGUUGUUGACUAAUUAAAUGCACAGUGUCUAUAACAAUAACACACACAGUGUAUGUAAUGCGUGUGUGUACACUAUAUAUGUAUACACACAUGCGCAAACUCAGACUUACCUCAUUUAUCAUAUACAGACAGCAGGAUCAUCAUGUAACACGCAGGGCAAUGCUAGGAUUUCUCAGAAGAUAAUAAUAAAAAAAAAACUGUUAAUAAACUAUAAAUAAUUUAAUGUUUUAUAAGGGUUUCUGGUAGAGUUGUGACGUUCGCGAACGAACCGGUUCUUUUGAACGGUUCAUAAACAUGAACGAUGGGAGCCGAAUCGCGGCUGGAGGGGAGCCGUUCUUUCUGUCGUUCUUUUUUCCUAUGCGUGUUUCACACAGAUGCACACAAAUGAGCUCCUCCGCGAGACAGAACAGUUAUAGGGGGAGGGGCGCACCCAGCGGAAGGAGCAGGCAGUGGUGCUGGAUCAAUAGUUUGGAGCUAUUUCCAUGAGGAAGUAGCUGGAACAGUGGAAGCCAGGAAUCCAACCGCCGAUGCUGUCAUUGAGGUGCGAGCCUACCUGGAGGAGCCUCUUCUUCCAACACAUGAGGAUCCCCUCAAGUGGUGGGAGAGUCGAGCCCCUGUUUACCCCAGGCUUAGCAAGCUGAUGGCCAAGAAGCUUUGUGUUGUGGCGACAUCAGUUCCCUCUGAGAGAAUAUUCUCGAAAACUGGACAGAUAAUCUCAGAGAGGAGAAGUCGCCUUAAGCCCAAAAUGGUCAGAGCUCUUGUCUUCCUUAAUGCAAAUUUGCCCAAGGACAAAAAAGAGAGGCAGAAAAAGCCAUAAAGUAAGGAACUGCUUUGUAUUUAUUUACAUUGCAUUUUGUGUUCAUUUAAAACUUGUUCUUUUAAAAACAUUAAAAAUGUUCUUUUGUGAUACUGUUCUUGUAUAGAAAUUUUUCACUAAAAGCUGUUUUGCACAGACAUUCAUUGCAGCCCACUUUGUUAUUGUUCAUUGACUUGAAGGGGCUGAUGUCCUAUUUGCAAAGUUUACAGUAGUAAUAGUAUGUAGUAUGUAGACAUUUCCAUUUUAUUUAUUCUAAUUUUAUCUACUUUAAAUAUUUUUUGUUUUCUAUCAAAAUGUUCUUGUGUGAUAACAAUGUUCUUGUGUGGAAGUGUUUGUAGUAAAAGCUGUUUUGCACAGAAAUUCAUUGCAGCCGGCUUUGUUUUUGAUGUUUAUUUGUGAGUAGGUAUUGUAUGAAUAACAUAAGUCAACGUAGCUUUACACACACACACACACACACACUUUGUACUAAAGGUAAAUCCAAAAUAGUGAUGUCACUGUCUAAGCAGAGGGAUUUGUGCAACCCUAUGGAAUAUAGUCCACACAUGACAAAUGAGGUAAUAAUCAAUAUUUCAGAAUAAUUCAAACUCAGAUAUUGGUGUGUGAUAUCUGAGUUUUAAUUAUUUGACUACAAAUCUCACCUCAUCAUUCCUCCCAGUGAUUAUUUCCAGGAUAAACUGAGAUGCCCCCAAGCUGGCUUCUUAAAACUGACUAAAUAUUUAAAAAGAGCCAAAAGAGCCGUUCUUUUGAACGGCUCUUUGAAAGGAACGGAUCGCGAAGAUCCGGAUACCCUCAAAGAGCCAUAAAUCCCAUCACUAGUUUCUGGUGUGUCUCUGCAAUUGUUCACUUAUUUACACACCUGCAAAAGAUGGGGUAGGUCCAGAGAGGUCUUUUUUUUUUUUUUUUUUGUCAGUCAGCAUCAGACAUCAGCGACUGUCCACUGCCUCACAGGUGUCCACUACAGAGCCAUAUUUAUGAAACAUAUGCAGAACACAUUUCUUUAUUAACUGCUGAAUAAAAAAAGAAUGCAUGGGUAAUUUUUUAACUGU
ensembl:lncRNA